UACGUAGGGUGCGAGCGUUAAUCGGAAUUACUGGGCGUAAAGGGUGCGCAGGCGGUUAUAUAAGUUGGAUGUGAAAGCCCCGAGCUCAACUUGGGAAUGGCAUUCAAAACUGUAUAUCUAGAGUUUGUCAGAGGGGGGUAGAAUUCCAAGUGUAGCAGUGAAAUGCGUAGAGAUUUGGAGGAAUACCGGUGGCGAAGGCGGCCCCCUGGGAUAGAACUGACGCUCAGGCACGAAAGCGUGGGUAGCAAACAGG
rnacentral:rRNA from 1 species